rnacentral:rRNA from 1 species
UAAGGGCGCACGGUGGAUGCCUUGGCACUAGAAGCCGAUGAAGGACGUUACUAACGACGAUAUGCUUUGGGGAGCUGUAAGUAAGCUUUGAUCCAGAGAUUUCCGAAUGGGGAAACCCAGCAUGAGUUAUGUCAUGUUAUCGAUAUGUGAAUACAUAGCAUAUCAGAAGGCACACCCGGAGAACUGAAACAUCUUAGUACCCGGAGGAAGAGAAAGAAAAUUCGAUUCCCUUAGUAGCGGCGAGCGAAACGGGAAGAGCCCAAACCAACAAGCUUGCUUGUUGGGGUUGUAGGACACUCUAUACGGAGUUACAAAGGACGACAUUAGACGAAUCAUCUGGAAAGAUGAAUCAAAGAAGGUAAUAAUCCUGUAGUCGAAAAUGUUGUCUCUCUUGAGUGGAUCCUGAGUACGACGGAGCACGUGAAAUUCCGUCGGAAUCUGGGAGGACCAUCUCCUAAGGCUAAAUACUCUCUAGUGACCGAUAGUGAACCAGUACCGUGAGGGAAAGGUGAAAAGCACCCCGGAAGGGGAGUGAAAUAGAACCUGAAACCGUGUGCUUACAAGUAGUCAGAGCCCGUUAAUGGGUGAUGGCGUGCCUUUUGUAGAAUGAACCGGCGAGUUACGAUUUGAUGCAAGGUUAAGCAGUAAAUGUGGAGCCGUAGCGAAAGCGAGUCUGAAUAGGGCGUUUAGUAUUUGGUCGUAGACCCGAAACCAGGUGAUCUACCCUUGGUCAGGUUGAAGUUCAGGUAACACUGAAUGGAGGACCGAACCGACUUACGUUGAAAAGUGAGCGGAUGAACUGAGGGUAGCGGAGAAAUUCCAAUCGAACCUGGAGAUAGCUGGUUCUCUCCGAAAUAGCUUUAGGGCUAGCCUCAAGUGAUGAUUAUUGGAGGUAGAGCACUGUUUGGACGAGGGGCCCCUCUCGGGUUACCGAAUUCAGACAAACUCCGAAUGCCAAUUAAUUUAACUUGGGAGUCAGAACAUGGGUGAUAAGGUCCGUGUUCGAAAGGGAAACAGCCCAGACCACCAGCUAAGGUCCCAAAAUAUAUGUUAAGUGGAAAAGGAUGUGGCGUUGCCCAGACAACUAGGAUGUUGGCUUAGAAGCAGCCAUCAUUUAAAGAGUGCGUAAUAGCUCACUAGUCGAGUGACACUGCGCCGAAAAUGUACCGGGGCUAAACAUAUUACCGAAGCUGUGGAUUGUCCUUUGGACAAUGGUAGGAGAGCGUUCUAAGGGCGUUGAAGCAUGAUCGUAAGGACAUGUGGAGCGCUUAGAAGUGAGAAUGCCGGUGUGAGUAGCGAAAGACGGGUGAGAAUCCCGUCCACCGAUUGACUAAGGUUUCCAGAGGAAGGCUCGUCCGCUCUGGGUUAGUCGGGUCCUAAGCUGAGGCCGACAGGCGUAGGCGAUGGAUAACAGGUUGAUAUUCCUGUACCACCUAUAAUCGUUUUAAUCGAUGGGGGGACGCAGUAGGAUAGGCGAAGCGUGCGAUUGGAUUGCACGUCUAAGCAGUAAGGCUGAGUAUUAGGCAAAUCCGGUACUCAUUAAGGCUGAGCUGUGAUGGGGAGAAGACAUUGUGUCUUCGAGUCGUUGAUUUCACACUGCCGAGAAAAGCCUCUAGAUAGAAAAUAGGUGCCCGUACCGCAAACCGACACAGGUAGUCAAGAUGAGAAUUCUAAGGUGAGCGAGCGAACUCUCGUUAAGGAACUCGGCAAAAUGACCCCGUAACUUCGGGAGAAGGGGUGCUCUUUAGGGUUAACGCCCAGAAGAGCCGCAGUGAAUAGGCCCAAGCGACUGUUUAUCAAAAACACAGGUCUCUGCUAAACCGUAAGGUGAUGUAUAGGGGCUGACGCCUGCCCGGUGCUGGAAGGUUAAGAGGAGUGGUUAGCUUCUGCGAAGCUACGAAUCGAAGCCCCAGUAAACGGCGGCCGUAACUAUAACGGUCCUAAGGUAGCGAAAUUCCUUGUCGGGUAAGUUCCGACCCGCACGAAAGGCGUAACGAUUUGGGCACUGUCUCAACGAGAGACUCGGUGAAAUCAUAGUACCUGUGAAGAUGCAGGUUACCCGCGACAGGACGGAAAGACCCCGUGGAGCUUUACUGUAGCCUGAUAUUGAAAUUCGGCACAGCUUGUACAGGAUAGGUAGGAGCCUUUGAAACGUGAGCGCUAGCUUACGUGGAGGCGCUGGUGGGAUACUACCCUAGCUGUGUUGGCUUUCUAACCCGCACCACUUAUCGUGGUGGGAGACAGUGUCAGGCGGGCAGUUUGACUGGGGCGGUCGCCUCCUAAAAGGUAACGGAGGCGCUCAAAGGUUCCCUCAGAAUGGUUGGAAAUCAUUCAUAGAGUGUAAAGGCAUAAGGGAGCUUGACUGCGAGACCUACAAGUCGAGCAGGGUCGAAAGACGGACUUAGUGAUCCGGUGGUUCCGCAUGGAAGGGCCAUCGCUCAACGGAUAAAAGCUACCCCGGGGAUAACAGGCUUAUCUCCCCCAAGAGUUCACAUCGACGGGGAGGUUUGGCACCUCGAUGUCGGCUCAUCGCAUCCUGGGGCUGUAGUCGGUCCCAAGGGUUGGGCUGUUCGCCCAUUAAAGCGGUACGCGAGCUGGGUUCAGAACGUCGUGAGACAGUUCGGUCCCUAUCCGUCGUGGGCGUAGGAAAUUUGAGAGGAGCUGUCCUUAGUACGAGAGGACCGGGAUGGACAUACCUCUGG